AACAAUGUAUACUUCAAGAAAACGACUUGAAACAAACAGGAAAAUUUCCACAAGCAAACGAGUAAAACUUAAGUAAACUUUUACCAUUCCACCAACACCGCCAUAACAAAUUCUUCUAUAAAUUAUUCCUAAAGAAUCCAGAAUUUUAAUUUCAAUUUCAUUCAUUUGUUCGCUGUCUCUUUACCCCACUUAUUUCCUCUCCUUUUUAUACCUUCUAUCUUCACAUUCUCUUCUCCACCCAAUAAUCUCUCUCUCUCUCUCUCUCUCUCUCUCUCUCUAGCUAACUAGCUAACUCUCUUCUUUUCUUUGAAAUCUAAAAUGGCUGCUUCAAAUGGGUUAGUAGUGUUUAUGAUAUUGGGAAUGUUGAUUGGAUCUACAAUAGCACAAGCACCAGGAGCUGCACCAACUUUACCACCAACAGUAGCACCACCAACACCAGUUGUAACACCACCAACAGUAGCACCAACACCUGCACCAACUGUUUCUCCAACUCCAGCACCUACACCUUCAUCACCAUCUCCAUCUCCAUCUCCUAAUGCACCAGAAUCAUCUCCACCAACUCCAUCUCCAACUCCAACUGCUGCUUCACCACCAGCACCACCAACUGAUACUCCUACAAGUGGUCCAUCAGGUUCUGAUACACCUUCUGGUUCUGUUACUCCACCAGAUAACUCAGCUCUUGGUUCUUUAAGCAGAGUUGCUGUUUUUGGAUCUGCUUUUGCUGGAACUUUUGCUGCUGUUUUCUUGAUCUAGAUCUACCACCAUAGAUCUUUUGAUCUUGAUUUGUGACGUACACGUGGAUGAGUAGAUGAUGAUCUGAUUUUUUUUUUCUUCUUCUUACUUGUAUUUGUCCUUGUACUUUUUUAUUAUUUUGGAUUGUUUAUGGUAGAGUUGGAUGUUGAUUAUUUUCGGUGAUUCAUUCUUCUUGAUUGAUUCUGGGGAAAAGUGGUUGUUAUUGAAGGGUUGAUGUAAAAGUUUAAAUCUGGGGAUAGAGAUGUGGAUGUUGAUGAAUCCGGUGUACAUUGAACCAUAAAUAAAAUUUAAUUAUUUGUUUUUUUUUUUUUUUUUUGUAUUUUUCUUGGUAAACUAUUACUAGUAUCUUUCAGCACAUAUGGUUAAUGGUAGUUCUAAUUUCUUAUCAAAAUUUUGGAGAGUAGUCCAUUAUUUAAAAACCAUGGCAUUAACUCAUUAACGACUUGAUCUAAGAAAACUACUAAUAAUAGAGACUACUCAACAACAUGAAGAAAUAAUACAGUACUGAUUUUAGAGCAUAAUGUGUUCCUUCUAGUGCUAGAAAGUCUUGUCUCCAUCUUUAUUUAUUAAGGUUUGUAAUAAAGCGUGCACUUUGUUAUUAGUUGCUUGCCAACUCCGGCAUAACUUGCAUCAAGACACAUUGUGAACCUCUGAUGAAUGCAGUAGUAGCCCAAACGUGCGGAUGACGAGUGAAGCAUAGAUGUCAAUGCCAGUUCAAUAAGCACUACUUUGGACUUUUGGAUACCUAGAUCUCACAUGCCCACUCAUUCAAUACAGUUUCCUAUACACCUUCACAAAUUUAAUUUAAUGAUGCAAAUAUUUUGUCACAAUACUAAUUAUUCUACUAAAAUUUAUAAGAAUCACCAGGGACGGAGCCAGACAUUUUUAUUUUUAUUUUUUGCUAAACGCCAGAAAUUAUUUUUGAGUGGGGCACUUAAAGAAAUUUUUUUUUUUUUUUUUUUUUUCUUUCUACAUAUUACAGUUAAUUAAUAAAUUAAUAAAUAAUAGGGAUUUUUAAACCAGUAAUGCAACAUCUUGGCUAAAAAUAAAUAAGCAAAUGUUUUGCCAUUCACAUACAAGCUUCACAAGAUCUCAAAAUACAUCUACCUAAAAAACCUCUCAAAAUUCAUUUUCAUCACAAAUAAGUAUCUAUAAUUAUCUUCUUGUAUUUUGAGAUUGGGAAAAAAAAUAAAUUCAAGAAGCAUUAUUUAAGAACUAAAAUAGAAUGAGUUAAUAGGUAAUGAGUAAUUGUACUGGUUUAAUUUUUAAGUUUAGGUGGGAUUGUGGGAUGGGAUGAAAAAGAUAGAUCUGAAAGAGACUUCAAAAUUUUCCUUACAUGUGAAGAAAAAGAAUAAAUGAUAAAAAGGCAAAAUGUAGAGCCCAACUUAACAACAAUCCAAUAAUCCAAUGGACUAUACAAAGCCCAACUUCAGUGAAUCAUUGCAACAACUAACAAUCCGAUAGAAAUUUUGAAAUGAGUGUGCACUAAUGUUUUGUUUGUAGUGGGCCAUGAGCAAUAUAUAUAGUAAAUGUUUUUUUUGCAAAAUUCACUGGGGCACGUGCCCCGUUAUGUGCCAACGUAGCUCGGUCCUUGAGAAUCACUAUUUUGGGUUUUUUAAUUGAUUUUUUUUUUAAUUCAAAAAACUAUUUUAUUGAUAAGUUCAAAGAAUUACACAAAAGUAGAGGACAAACGCGCUACAAACUGCGUUGUAAGUCCUUUUAACACAAACCUGAUUCUUCUAAAUACAUAUACGUUCGAACCCAUAGUCAUCCCGUUGCUAUCCAUUACCUUCUGCACUCUUCUGAAGAGUUCAACUGCUUCUGAACCUAUCAAUCUAAAUAUAUCAAAUGCAAAAGAGAUAAAACUAUAUUGGUUAGCCCUACACGUUCCAUUAUGUUUUUGUACUUUUGUUGUUGCUGCUGCAUUGCUAGUUGCUAGCCACAUCUCAAAAAUCCCAACACCUAGUCCGACCAUCAAAAAUGCCCCUGUAACAUCAAUACACGCAUGUUUGCUUUCAGACCAGUUGUAAACCAGAAUAUCAACGAAUUGUAACGUCAAUCUUCCUUCCUUAAAAUCAAUAAAGAAGUCAAUAGGAGCCUUAUUUUUAAAGUCUAAGAAAGUACAGAUUUACUCUAAAAAAAACUUUUAAUUCUUAAAAAUUAGGAAGUUAAGUAGUGCUUAGAAAUAUAAUUUAUUAGAGAUUUUUGGACAUACCUCCCCACUUGAAAGUCGAAAUUUGAGAUACCACCAUUUAAAAAAAAACAAAAAAAAUUUAAGAUACCCCAUUUCAAGAUAGAAGAGAUUUAUAACCAUAAGUUAGUUUUAUGAUGGAUGGCUAAGAUAACACCACAUCUUAAAAUGAGGGUUAUCUCAAUUAUUUUUUUAAAUAGGGGUAUCUCAAACUUCGAAUGCUUAUGUCCAAAAAUCAUACCUAAAAUGUUCAGUUUUAUAAUUUUUAUUAUUGAGAUUUUUGGACAUACCCCCGUUUGAAAUUUUUUUUGAGAUACCCCAAUUCAAGACAGAAGAGCUUUACAGCCAUAUUAUAGAACAACAAACCUUCCCUCCAAGGAAUGGAUUCGUCAAAGCAAACAAACAGAACUGAAAAUGAUCAGAGAUUCAAACGAACCUCUGUUAUUAUUAAUCAAUCAAGAAGAAGAAGAAGAAGAAAGAGAUAGUUUGAUUGAAAGAGUAUGGAUAGAAUUGAAAAAGAUAUGGAAGGUAGCUGGUCCUGCAAUCUUCAGUCGUGUUGCUAUGUUUUCAAUGACUCUCAUAAGCCAAGCUUUUGCUGGUCAUUUGAGUAAUCUUGAUUUAGCUUCAAUUUCCAUUGCUACUACUGUAAUCAUCACUAUCAGCUUUGGUUUCUUGGUAAAUAUCACUACCCCUUUUCUUAAUUUAGUCUAAUUCUUCCCAAGUUUUGAUUUUUCUGCAAAUUUCUCAUCAUUUUUGUGCAAAAUUUUAUUUUUUUUAGAGGUUUUCUCUGUUAAUUGUAUUACUCCACUCUUUUAUUAUUUCAAUGCAAUUUCUGUGUAAAAUUUUCAUUACUUGCAAAACAAUUUGAUGUUUUGGGGAUUGGAGUUUUCAGCUAGGCAUGGCAAGUGCAUUGGAGACUCUAUGUGGUCAAGCUUAUGGUGCUAAGAAAUACCACAUGAUGGGCAUUUAUCUGCAAAGAUCAUGGAUUGUUCUGUUUGUCUGUUCUAUUCUGCUUUUGCCCAUGUACUUGUUUGCUACUCCAAUUCUCAAGUUUGUAGGACAAUCUAAUGAAGUAGCUGAGAAGUCUGGAAUUGUCGCUUUAUGGUUGAUUCCUAUGCAUUUCUCAUUUGCUUUUCAGUUUCCAUUACAAAGGUUUCUUCAAUGUCAGAUUAAAACUUUUGUUAUUGUUUGGGUGUCUGGUGUGGCUCUUGUUGUACAUGUGAUAAUGAGUUGGUUCUUUAUGUAUAAGCUCAAUGUCGGGGUUGUUGGUACAGCUAUUAUUCUUGAUUUCUCUUGGUGGAUUGCGGUAUUAGGGCUGUUUGUAUAUACAGUUUGCGGUGGGUGUUCUAACUCAUGGACUGGUUUUUCAAUUCAAGCUUUCUCUGGACUUUGGGAGUUUUUUAAGCUCUCUGCCGCUUCUGGGGUCAUGUUGUGGUACAUGUUUUAAUGUUCUAUGUUGUUUUGUCUCAGUUUUGUUUAUCUUUUUCGUGUCACUCAUUACUCGUACUUCUUUUGGCUAUAAAAUUUUCAGUUUGGAGAAUUCGUAUUUUCGAAUACUAAUAAUAAUAUCGGGAAUUCUUAGUAGCAGUGAGGUUGCUUUGGAUGCACUUUCUAUCUGGUUAGUCAUUUUAAUGUAGAGGGAGGUGAAAUUUUGUAUGUAUCAUUGUAUCUAAUUCUUCGUGCAUUUGCUUGCUAUCACUGACCUUUAUUAACUUUUUUGCACAGCAUAUCUAUCUUUACUUGGGAGUCGAUGGUCGUGCUUGGGUUCUUUGCUGCAACUGGGUAUGUUGUCAGUCUCCCUUUUUUCAUCUCUCUGAUCCUUUAUUUCAUGCUUUUGUAGUUUCGUAUUCUAGAAAAGUGUUCAGUUAAGUUUGUAGGGGAUAUAUUAUUAAGUGUGGCACAUCAUCUACAUUAGGCUGCCUGUUUGCUAUCACUACAAGAGGUAUAGAGAGGGUCUGAAGAAAUAUAGACUGUAAGCGACACAAGCCAUGUUACUGCAACAACAUUUAAUUUGCUAUAUUAUCACAGAGUCUCUCUGAGUAUCUGAUUGACUGGCGAUGUUGAUGAACGAAUAGAACAGCCAUUAUUUAAAUACUGUAUAGAGUUGUGUUCUUAGUUCAAUUUUCAAUAUCUAUACAUCAGUAAUGUGUUAGAAAUUGCUAUAGAAAUGUAAAUAUUUCUUACAAUCCAGGGUAAGAGUUGCAAAUGAGCUUGGAGCAGGCAAUGGAAAAGCUGCUAAAUUUGCUACAAUUGUAUCAGCGGUCACCUCCCUAAUAGUAGGAUUAGUCUUUUGGUUCGUGAUUAUAGUUUUUCGAAAUCAGGUUGCCCUGAUCUUCACCGCCAGUCCAUUGGUUCUCACUGCCGUCAACAAACUGUCUGUCAUAUUGGCCUUCACCAUUCUCCUCAAUAGCAUCCAACCAGUUCUUUCUGGUUAGACCAUUAGACCCUUUGCCAUAAAUUUAUAAACCUUUAACUGAUAUAGUUUCAUACUUUCAUAUCUUUCACAACCUUUCUCCAUCCUCAGGAGUGGCUGUUGGAUCUGGAUGGCAAGUGAUUGUGGCUUAUAUAAACAUAGGAUGCUACUAUAUAAUCGGAGUCCCUCUUGGAAUUUUAAUGGGAUGGGUCUUCCAUUUUGGCAUUGAGGUAUGUUUUUGUGAUGUUACGUGCUUAAGAAUUUAGAAUGAAAUGCAAGACCAGCGACAUAGUGUAGAAUAAAGCCCAGUAGUAUACCAGUUACUUGACUAUAAUAUAACGUUAUAAUGUGAAGAUUGGUUGAGCAGGUUUCCUUGUUAUCAAAGUUUUAUCAUGUUCGUUUUCUUUAAAUGCAAAUUUGCAAUGUCUCAAUAUCCACCCCUGGACUUUGAGAAGGUGAUUAACGCAAUAAAGACAUUUGAGAAGUUAGGUUGGAAAACCCAUAUUAGACAAGUUUGGUUUUUGUAAUGUCUUUUUUGGCUUUCAACUCAUUUGAAUUGUCAAUAUCAUAAACUAAGGAGUGCUGCCUUAAAAGAGAAACAUGGAAUUAUCCCACUGAAAGAAAGUUUAUUUUGUCUUGAAUAUGUGCAAAAACCUUGUUUCCAAAGGUUGUAGCUCUUUGUGCUAUAGACACUUGCAUUAUCCUUCUUUUGAUAAACUGUCUAGUGUCUUAAUCAUUGAUCUUCCUGGUGUUCUUUCCUCCACUAAUUAUUAUCAUGGUUUACAUAUGAGUAAAUGCCUCAGAUCUCAUUGUUAGUGCUAAUUCAUGAGAAUGAAUGAACAGGGUGUUUGGGUGGGGAUGCUCAGUGGAACUGUUGUACAGACAUUGAUAUUAACCUUCAUCACACUUAAAUUUAAUUGGAAAAAGGAGGUAACAUGGAGACUACGAUAACAUUUAUCAGUUAUGUUGCUUAAUUCUCUAUUGCAUGUUAUAGUAGUUUUGUAAGUAUCAUGUGGAUUCUAUUCGUAGGCUGAACAAAGAAGGUGAGAUACCAUGUGAAGCUGUUGGUAUGCUGAUCCAUUGAUCAAGAGUGAUGGUUGAUUACCAACGCAAGAGCAAAGGGGUGACAUUUUGGGCUCGGUUGCAAUUACAAAUCUCAACAGAACUUUAAACUUCCAAGUUCCAUCAGAGCUUUACCACCACUUUACAAACCUACAGCUUCUCAUGAUAUUGAAUACAAAUGUAGUUUAAGAUUACGUAUUUAUGAUUGUGAUACACUGCCCUGUUGUUUGCACAACAAAUUGACCAAAAUUUUCUGAUAGGAUUGUACCAAAACUAAGGUUGUCGAAGGGGUAUUGUUGUCUUGGCAUGUGUCAUCACAAUCAAAAUUUCUACCAUUAUAGCAGCAUCCAUUUCAGAACAAACAAAAGUUCAAUAUUGUAGUAUUUGAUGACACAAACAAGUUCUGAAUAAUGAAUAUUGGAUGACUUUUCAGAACUUGCAUUUCAGAACUAAUUUGAAAUUUGAUUUAGAGAGAAGUUAUAUGCUAGUUUGUAUUAUACUUUUCAAAGGAUGGUACAGUUGUGAAGGGCCAUGAACCUUACCUACAAGGAGAUACCACAAUAAAGUGAUGUUAGAUAUUGGACCACUGAAAAGUAAACAGUCGAAUACCAUCAAACUUGAGAUCAAAUAGAUCCAGAUAUCUGACCAGCAUAACGGAUCAGUUUAUCUUGAAGCAUUCAGAUUCUUGGUCUUUCACCAAUAAGUUAUUCUCUGCACAAGUUGUUAUCUUAAAUCGCUUCACUGCGACUUUUUUUUUUUCUGUUAUUGUAAGAUGCUGCAAUGACCAGAGUCUGACCAGAGAAUUAGAUAAUGUUAAGGUCAUGAUCAAUAUAGUCAUUGAAAGGUGUAAAUUGUUAGAAAUUUAGAACAUUCCAAUGGUUGGCCAUCUUUUCUAUUGUAGCCGUGUCGAAUCCAUACUCUUUGCACAUAAAAACAACCUCGUUCACAAGUUGCUUAAGUGCUUAUGAACAAAAGAACAAUGAUUCAAGAUUUCAAGGUGACAAAAAUUGUUGGAACAGGUCACUAGCUAACUCAUAUCCAGAAAAUAUUAGUAAAUAUCGAAAAAAUCGAACAUAUCGAUAAAUAUCGGCCGAUAUUUUACAGAAAUUUCAAAGGAUAAAUAUCAGGAAUAUAUCGUAUCGUUUUCUUUUAAAACCGAUAUAUAUAUCGCGAUAUUUUGUACUAUGGUCAUUACUGUGCCACUGCGGUCUGAUGAUCUUUGAUUGUUGUGUACCCAAGAUUGUUUGUUGGUUUUGUAUGUCAAUUGGGGAUAUUAUUGAGUAAAACAAAUGGAUUUUACCCCAUAUAUAGUAAAAACUAAAUACGAUAAUCGCAACAUGACAGUAAUAAUGAUCUUUACAUCAACAUAGUAUCCACAAAUUUGUGUACAAAUUGAAUUGAACUUGCCAUGUGCCCUGGAAAAAAGUUUGUCUAUCAACAUGAACAAUUACAUGAUCUACAAGGUUAGAAGAAAAUGAAACUAUAUUUUUUUCUAAACUUUUAUUUUAUCUAACCAUUAGAUGUUGAUGUGUUUCGAAUCAAUAACCUCUCUUAUUCUUUGUGAGAGAGAUGCAUGGAUGAACACUUGAGCCAAAUGCUUGUAUGCAAGAAAAUAAAAGUGUUAGUCAGUUUACCUAUUAUAUAUAUAUGUCACAUUAUCAUCUUUCCAAGAAUAUGUAUGACUGUAGUUUGCCAAUUGUGUUUGUGAAUGUGUUGCACUCAAAAUUAACAGCUUGACAUCCUUGCUGACCUAUACACAACAUUUACUGUAGUACGUGGCUUUUUUAGUGACUAUAAAUUCCAACUAUUUUUCAUCAAUAAGGUCUGAUCCGAUUCUCCCUCUUAAGACAGAAAAUAGAAAGAAAAAAAAGUAAUUAAAGAUGGAGAGCAAGAACACCAAAGGUGAAGAAACUGUCCCUUUGUUAGAAGAUUCAUCAUUAGCAAUAGUUCAUGAAUUCAAAGAAGGUGAUGAAGAAGAUAAUCUUAAUCAAGAUUUAGUAACAAGAGUUUGGAUUGAAUCUAAAAAACUAUGGCACAUAGUUGGUCCUGCCAUCUUUAGCCGUAUUGCUUCUUUUUCUAUGAAUGUUAUUACUCAAGCAUUUGCUGGUCACUUGGGUGAUCUUGAACUUGCUUCUAUGUCCAUUGCAAACUCUGUUAUUGUUGGUUUCAACUUUGGUUUCUUGGUAAGUAUUAUAUUACUCCAAUUGCUCAUUUGAGAUACUGUUUUUGUUUAAAAUCAGCUUGUAACAUUUUUUUGCGUUAUUUAGUUAGGUAUGGCGAGUGCGUUAGAAACACUAUGUGGACAGGCAUUUGGAGCAAAGAAGUAUAACAUGAUGGGGGUUUACAUGCAACGUUCAUGGAUUGUUCUGUUUGUUUGUUCUGUUCUGCUUCUUCCCAUGUACAUAUUUGCUACUCCAAUUUUAAAACUAUUAGGACAACCAGAUGAUGUCGCAGAACAAUCAGGAUUAGUAGCAAUAUGGAUGAUUCCUCUUCAUUUUUCAUUUGCUUUUCAAUUCCCUUUACAAAGAUUUCUUCAAAGCCAACUUAAGACAGGAGUUAUAGCUUGGGUGUCAUUGGUGGCUUUGAUUGUUCAUAUUUUUGUUAGUUGGUUGUUUGUGUAUAAACUUCAGUAUGGAUUAAUUGGUACUGCAGUUACCUUGAAUUUCUCUUGGUGGGUUUUGGUAUUCGGAUUGUUUGAUUAUACUGUUUGUGGUGGAUGUCCUUUAUCUUGGUCUGGUUUCUCUACUCAAGCCUUCUCUGGACUUUGGGAGUUUCUCAAACUGUCUGUAGCUUCUGGAGUUAUGUUAUGGUAGCCGUUUCUCUCUUCCCGUGAUCUAGUAUUCAAUUAAUUUAUGAGUUGAAUAUAUACCAAAUCACCUGACUAAUUUUCUUCCCUAGACGAAAAGUGUCUAAUAAUCGAUCUGUAUGGCAUGGAACAUGAUAAUGGCGUUGCUUUUUAGUAUUUCUCUUGUUUCGUUCUGGUUAACAUUUCUGCAAAUAAGCAUUCCAUGUGAUAAUAUUGAAGUCGAUCAGUACAUGUUUAAUUUAUAUAUACUUCUGACCCACAUUCUUUAUUUACACAAUUCCGUUCGCAGUUUGGAGAACUGGUACUACAGAAUACUAAUACUGAUGACUGGCAAUCUAAAAAAUGCUAAGAUUGCAGUGGAUGCACUAUCAGUCUGGUAUAUAUGCCCCAUCCUCUAUAUUGUUUAUUGAUCUCAAUUUUCUAUUAUAGUUUGGAAUCUAUUUCUUCACUCAUGUUGUUGUAGUCUCACAUGAAGAAAUAUUCUGCUUUCUCGGCUAACAUUCUCACUAUGUCUUCUUUUGGUUCCUGAUUAAUUUUAACAGUCAAAGCAUCAAUGGAUGGGAAAUGAUGAUUCCACUGGCCUUUUUUGCUGGUACUGGGUAUGUAUGAAUAUGACCCUUAACAACUUUAGAUUCCAUUGAUCUGUGCUUUAAGGCGAACUGCCACCCACCUCUUGUUAACACAUACCUCGAGUUAUGUACAAGAAACUGAUAUGAUAUGCACUUGGAGCUUUUGUAGUAAAGUUUAAUCAAUGGUGGGGGUACCACCCGUCCUGCCGUAUGUGGACACAUCUUUCACUUUCACUUAGGAGGCUGGGUCCAUGAACUAUAAGAUCUGUUUCCUAGGAACGUAUACAGUUUUGAUACCAAUUACCAAAUGCCUACUUGCUCUUGGGAACUCUCGAGUUGGGGAUGAGCUUAUAGUAACCGCCACUUUUUAAGCGAAUUUCUACUAGAAAAUCUUAUAAGCCUGUAACUACCCAUAAAAACAAUCAAGAUUUUGGGUUUUCUUGUAGGUUAUAAGCUAUCAGAAGUUUGUAUAACCGAAACAAAUUUCAGUCCCAAGGUUUCUACGCAGAAUUCUUUUUCCAACAAAGUCAAUAUAGUUUAGGCAACCAAAAUGUUACACUUCACAUUCUCGGCACAAAAUAUUGAUUGUGCUGUAGCUGGAUGUGGAUUGCCAGGGUAUGUGACAAUCUAAAGAUACUGUAGUUUUGUUGUUGGAUAUAUCAUCCGAAAAUUGUGAAUGAAUAUCUUGACAUAAUGAUAUGUACUCAUGUAGACCCCCAAGAAAAUUCAAUAUAGAGGAGAUCGUUCAACUAAGAUAUUUAAGACUUUGUACAAUUUCAAACAUGGCGCACUAGUGUUUUCAGUUUGUCAAUUGAUAAUAGUAUCUACUGAACAUGUUCUGAAUUCUGAAUAAUCAACGAGUUUGGUUUGGCAAAUUGUGGUGCAGAGUGAGAGUUGCAAACGAACUUGGAGCAGGAAAUGGUAAAGGAGCAAAAUUUGCAACAACUGUGUCAGUGAUUACCUCAAUAAUCAUUGGGCUAAUAUUUUGUGUUUUCAUCGUGGUUUUCCACGACAAAAUCGCCCUUAUUUUCACUUCAAGUACUGAAGUCAUCAACGCAGUUGACAAGCUUGCUAUCUUAUUAGCAAUCACCGUUCUGCUCAACAGUGUUCAACCAGUUCUCUCUGGUGAGCAAACUGUCAUAGCUGAUCCUCAACAGAAUCAGGUUAUACUUUCGCAGAGCCAAGUGCUUCUGAUUUCAUCUAACUUGAGCAAUUUAUAUAGGGGUGGCUAUUGGAUCUGGAUGGCAAGCAUUUGUGGCUUACAUCAACAUAGCCUGCUACUACAUUGUUGGAGUCCCUCUUGGAAUUUUGAUGGGAUGGGUCUUUCACUUCGGUGUCAUGGUAAGGACUAAGGAUUACAUGUUCAGUGUUUAUUUAAUUAACCAAAGAAGUAAGAAGUACCUCUCGCAGCAUUACGUUGGUGGACAGGAACCUGAUCUGAAGUCAUCUGGUUGAAUCCAUUGGCUCAUUUCUGUACUGUAAGUGCAAACAUGAGCCAAUCUAGAACAUCACUGAUGUGUACGCAUUGGUGUACGUACAAAUCUUAUAAUUAAAAUGCCAGUCAUAGCUCUAAAGUUCAAAAGUAAUGAAAGUGCAGCUAUAUUUGUUAACCCUAUUUUACUUAUGUGCGUGAAACAAAACUGUUUACAGGGAAUAUGGUCAGGGAUGAUUGGUGGGACUGCAGUUCAAACAUUGGUAUUAGUCUACAUAACCAUCCGUUGCGACUGGGACAAGGAGGUAAUGAUUGAUUCAAGAAAGAAAUACAUACUACAUAGACCGCAACACUAUAGCUUUUGCAUUUCUAAUUCUAUUCUACUGUUUGUUAUUCUGCAGGCCAAGAAAGCUAGUUCAGACAUGGAGAAAUUGGACAGGUAGUAAAUGAAAAUAAGCAUCCAGAGAUUGACAGGAAGAAAGGCUGGACGCCUGGACGUUUCAAAGGGGUUAUGUGGCCAAUCAAUUCAAUCCCCAAAUCGGGUUAAACCGACAAAGCUAUAUAUGAUUUUUGCCUUUCGGUACCCAGUUACCAUUUAUAAUGACAAAAUCAAAUUAUAUACAGGGCUAGGUGUUCAUCGAUGGAAUGCAGACUGUUCUUUAGGCCUAUAUCAACAGAUCAAAUUGUCAACAUUUUGAUCCAAAAACAUAUUUUUCUAGUUGCACCAGAGUUCAGAAACCAAUAUGGAUUUUGAAUUAUCAAUUAAAGAAAUUUUUAUUUAAUCUGAACCCAUAUGUUGUUUUUCUUUACAAUCCAAAUUAAAAUUUAAAAGAGAAAGGUAAUCAGACAAAUAACACCCAUCCAUCCCCAUUAUCCAUGAGUGAUUUUUGCCUUUUCCUUACAAAGUUAUCAAUUAUCAUUAAAGGAUAAAAUUAAAUUAUUUACACUGCUCACUGCUCACUGCUUAUUGAUCCAAUGUAGAAUGUUCUAAACCAAUAUAUAAUGAUCAGUAGAUGAAAUUAUCAACAUUUUGAUACAAAAUCAAUUGAACCUAUAAUUUAUUUUAGGAAACAUCCAAUGUGACCAAUUUAUGGACCCUAGAUGCCAAUAAAAUUAUAGAUUCAUUGAAAAAUCAGCGUGUACAACACCAUCAGGUGGUAAAACCCACCUACAUGAAAUCUAAUCCCAAAUAUUCGACAACUGAAACACAAUGCUUUGGUAACUUACAUGAAGUCUGAUAUUGUUUAUGUUGAUCACCAUUGAUUAAGCUUCUGGUGAUUAACAUAACAAUAUCAAAUUUCAUUUCAUGUUAUCUAAGCAUUGUGCUUCAGCUGUUGAAUCUUUGACCAAUUUUCUAUAGGAAGCUUGGUCAAUAGUGAGUUGACCAGCUCGACUCUCAAUUUGGCAUUUUGGGGUAUCACCAAUUAAAGUUCAAAUGGGGGAGGGGUAUCUCAACUUUAAAGUUUCAAAUGGGGGUAUAUCCAAAAAUCUCUUAAAAUAAAUAUUUCCAAAAACAAAGAUUCAUAAAUUAUUUCUGGCCAAUUAUUAUAUAAUCUCUUUAAGUUUGGUUUCAUAUUUUGAAUUUCCCAACUUCCAUACUUGGAAGGAACAGAGAAAGAGAAUGUAACAACAAAAUAGUCAAGUUGAUAGGAUUACCUCAGGACCUCAGGUUACCUUAAGUUUGUGUCAGCUACUCCAACUCUUAUAUCCGCCUUUCACAAAUCUCUUUCAGUUUCUUUAAUCACAUUUUUGACUUUUAUAUUCUUGAAAGCUGGAUGUCCACAACAAUUUGAUUGGAUUUAUACUGGUUUGGUUCUCUCAAGAGAGAAGAAGAUAGAAAAAAGACAAGUACACAAAACUAAUCAAAGAUGGAGAAAAAAGACAUCAGAAUAGGAGCAGAAAAAGUCCCUUUGUUACAAAAUUUCUCAGAAACACUUGAACUCAAAGGAGAUGUAGGAGAUAAUGUUAAUCAAGAUUUAACAACAAGGGUGUGGAUUGAAUCUAAGAAACUAUGGAACAUAGUUGGUCCUGCCAUCUUUAGCCGCGUUGCUGCUUAUUCUAUGCUUGUUAUUACUCAAGCCUUUGCAGGUCACUUGGGUGAUCUUGAACUUGCUUCUAUUUCCAUUGUACUUAAUGUUGUUCUUGGUUUCGACUUUGGACUCCUGGUAAGUAUUUCAUUCUACAACUUUUAACUUGCUUUUUAAAUUCGGAUUUCUCGUUUUUGUAAUGUUUCUUCAUUUCUUUCCUUGAUUAUUUAGUUAGGCAUGGCGAGUGCAUUAGAAACACUAUGUGGGCAAGCAUAUGGAGCAAAGAAGUACAGCAUGUUGGGGGUAUACAUGCAACGUUCAUGGAUUGUUCUAUUUAUUUGUUCUGUUCUGUUGCUCCCCUUGUACAUAUUUGCUACUCCAAUUCUAAAACUAUUAGGCCAACCAGAUGAUGUUGCAGAACAAUCAGGAUUAGUUGCAAUAUGGAUGAUUCCUAUUCACUUUUCGUUUACUUUCCAAUUCCCUUUACAGAGAUUUCUUCAAAGCCAACUUAAGAAUGCAGUUAUAGCUUGGGUGACAUUGGUGGCUUUGAUUAUCCAUAUAUUUAAUAGUUGGUUUUUCGUGUAUAGACUACAGUUGGGGUUGAUUAGUACUGCAGUCAUUUUAAAUUUGUCCUGGUGGAUAAUGGUUUGGGGAAUGCUUGCUUAUUCUAUUUGUGGUGGAUGUCCUUUAACUUGGUCUGGUUUCUCUACUCAAGCUUUUUCUGGACUCUGGGAAUUUCUUAAACUAUCUGCUGCUUCUGGUGUGAUGUUAUGGUAUGUCCUCAGUAUCUUUCCUCUUCAUCGAUCCAAUCCUUGUUUCUCAGAAUCAAACAUGUCGCGAUCUGAGUAUCUGUGUGAUGGAAUAUGCCAUGAGUGUGUUCAAAUCCACGCGAAUAUCGUGUGUUAUGUUCAAUUAGGUGCAGAAAUAGUAUCAAUAACACAUCUUCAUUCUGUUUUAUUGCAAUCACUGCUUUCUGAAACUCAUAAUGGUGCUAGUUGGUCGGGAGCUUCCGUUGGUGGGCAGUUGGGAUAUCUGGCUCGCAUUCGUCUAUUCCACUUGUUCCCUAUUAUAAAUUACUUUUAGUUUCUGAUCACAUGUAAAUAAUUGUGUGUAGUGGUAUUUUUUUACAGCUUGGAGAAUUGGUACUACAGAAUUUUGGUACUGAUGACCGGCAAUUUAAAGAAUGCUAAGAUUGCAGUUGAUGCUCUCUCAGUCUGGUAUAUGACUAUAUGUAUCCCUACCCCCUCUGCAUUUUUGUUUCCAUUGAUUUUUCUGUAAUAGUAGGCUAGAAUAUACUUUCAAGUUCAUGCUGUAUUUACAAGAAGUUGAUAUUUUGUUACAGUUUCUUAUAAUGUAAUUUUUGGUUCCUAUUUAAUUUUGACAGUCAAUCUAUCAAUGGAUGGGAACUGAUGAUUCCUCUAGCCUUCUUUGCUGGUACUGGGUACGAUUUUAACAACUUCAAUUCUAUUACAUUAUGCUUUGAGGUAAAACUAGCUAGGAAAAAUUCAAGCAUGUCCAGUUUCUGCUACCUUGAAUCUAGUCUAGAUUCAUUUGAAACUGUAAAGUAAUGCGUGUUUUAGUACACGUAAGGAAGUACGAGAAAACCACAAUCUUAAAUAUUAAGUAAUAAAAAAAAAAUUACGACAAAAAAAACAAGUUACAAAUGUUGUACAUUAUUGGUUGGCCAUCGAUCAACUAUAUUCAUCUCAUUAGAAAUGAAUUACCCGCAUAGCUUAAAAGAAGACCAACAUGAGUACAUGACAUUGGGAUAUUGCUGGCUGGAUUACACCACUAACCGCGUACAUUACAAAUUACAUUCAUAUCAGAUUCAGGGCAAUUAAUUUAGGCCAAUAACAUGAGCACUAUAUGUUUUCAGUAGGUAAAUUGAUGACAGGAUCGGAUCUACAUACCAAACACGUUGAACAUAAGUAAUGAGUGUGGUUUGGUAUGAAUUGUGAUGCAGAGUGAGAGUUGCAAACGAACUUGGAGCAGGAAAUGGCAAAGGAGCAAGAUUUGCAACAAUUGUUUCGGUGGUUACCUCAAUUUUGAUUGGGGUUGUGUUUUGUGUUUUAAUCGUGGCCCUUCACGACAAAAUCGCAUUUAUUUUCACUUCAAGCACUGAAGUCAUCAAUGCAGUUGAUAAGCUAGCAAUUAUAUUAGCAUUCACCAUUCUCCUCAACAGUGUUCAACCAAUUCUCUCUGGUGAGUUCUUUUAAGUUUUAACACACCCAAAUCCAUUUUAGUAUGUCAGACCUAUGAAGUAAAAUCUGUUUUCGUGGAAAAAAAACAUUGAGUAAAUGGCAUGGCUAAAGGCAUGAACCGCCACUGAGUCGGUUCAUAUUUAAUGUGAAUCCACACUUACCGAACCCUACUGCUGAUCUCGUUUAAUAAUUCACAAUUUAUGUAGGGGUUGCUGUUGGAUCAGGAUGGCAAGCAUAUGUGGCCUACAUCAACAUUGGUUGCUACUACAUCAUUGGUGUCCCUCUUGGAAUUGUAAUGGGAUGGGUCUUUCAUUUAGGUGUCAUGGUAAGGACUUAAACUUACAGGGUCAACUACUUCUCGGGACUUUGGAUGUGUGCGAAAUCUGCAGUAUUCUGGUUUAGCUCAUGUCUGUUACAUUAGACAUAAGCCAAUCUAGAGCACCAAUAUAGCAGUACAUAUCUCGUGAAUUUGACAGUCCAAAUUUGAGUCACACAAUUCAAGCUCUAUAAUCUGAAAUUAAUAUAAAACGCAUAUGUUCUAGAUUCCAAAAUUAGUCCAAAAUUUGUUUAUUAUUACUAACAGGCUUGUUUGAAUCGUUCACAGGGUAUAUGGUCUGGGAUGAUUGGUGGGACUGCAGUUCAGACGUUGAUAUUGGUCAUCAUUACAAUUCGUUGCGACUGGGAUAAAGAGGUAAAAAAUGAUCAAGAAAAUGAACAGAAGUACGUACACAUUUUUCGCUUCUUUAAAUCUGAUUUGCAUUAAUCUGGUUUGGUGUUCUGCAGGCUGAGAAAGCUAGCUCACAUAUGGAGAAAUUGUCCAGUGGUUAAUGAGGAAAAUAGGCAUUAGCAAGUUUUUUAGAAUAAAGCUGCCGUUGAUAGCAACAUGUGUGAACUAUUAUUUUCGUACCAAUUAGCCUCUAUGCACAAUAAUGAAGUCUCUAUUGUGCUCAUUGUUCGAAUACACAAUGUUCUAAAACAACUACAAUCGGCUGAUCAAUUUUAAACAUGUUAAUACAAUAGCACCAUAUUCAAAGACUUGCACAUUUGUGUUGAAGCCAUUUGUUCACAACUAUGAUUUACACCAAUAAAGGUGUAAUCAAAGCUUACCUUGAAGAAUAAUUAGUACACAAUACCAAGAAGAAACCACUACUAGAACACCAAUUCAAGUAAACAAGAUAAUGAAAUUCAAACACUCACCACACAAGAUUUAACGUGGUUCGGCAUACGCCUACAUCCUCGGGGCAAUGUUCUCCAUUCGACUAUCUAAAAUCCAAAUCAAAAUUCGAAAGAGAAAGAUAAUCAGACUAAUUAACAUUCAUUGUCUUUAGACUGGUAGUCUGUAUGUACAGUGUACUAAAGAUUAAGUGAACAAACAGGAGAAUUAACCGCAGCAAGAACUGGUUUCUGCAUAACAGUCAUCUAAACGCGCGUAAAUCCACCGCAACGCGGUUUGCGGAAACUGAACAAGGUCAUCAACAAGUACGUAGGUUCGAGAAGCCCUAGUUUGAAUUCUGUUUUCUUCAAAACUUGUAAUUCCUUCUCAGAAGCUUGAUUUUAAAUGGUUUCAGAAGUACCUUUGCAUUUGAACUCAAUACUUUUGAAUUAAAUAUUGAGAAAAUCAAUUGACAUGAAAGAAAGAACUUUAAAGGGAGCAAGGUAAUUGGACAGCUUCUAAGUUCUAAGGCCACUUGAUUGAUUGAUUGAUUGUUUUAACACUCUAAAGAAAUAUAAUUGAAUGGAAGUAUGGUAACAUUUUAUUAAUGCAAAUUUGAAGAAAGAUUUAAGUAUUAGUAAUUGUGAUUUUUAGGAUAAUAUAAUAUAUAAAUUGUUCUUUUCUAUUAUCUAAUACUAGUACAGUAGUAUGUUGUUUUAUGAGUAUCUACAAAAUGGCUGAAUUACGGUUUGUAAAAUGUCAAAGCUAAUAAACUAGGGGGAUUUUUAGACUUAACCCUCCCUUUUAUGGUCACGUUUUGAGUAAACCUCUUUAUUUGUCCAAGUUUGGACUUUACCCCUUCUCCGUCUACUUCUGUCAAAUUUAACGUCUAUUUUUAUUUUUUCUUCCUAAAAUACCCCUUUCUCAUAUUUUUAGGGGGUCAAGUCUAAAACAGCAAUCGAGGACAUUUUGGGAAUUUACAAACAAAAUUGACGUUAAAUUUGAUAGAAACAGGCGGAGAGGGGGUAAAGUCAAAACUUGGACACAUGGGGGGUUUACUCAAAUCGUGACCAUAAAAGGGGGGUUAAGUCUAAAAAUCCCUAAACUAGGUAUCACAAAAUGACAUUUGAAUGGGAUGCAUCGAUGCAGAAUGCACUAAGAUUUUUCUUGCAGCUGUAGUAUAGAGGUUGCAUUUGUCCAUGGCAUCCUCAAAUUCAAAAAUACCAAUAGUUCAUCAAUUCGAUCCUGGGCAUAUGGAAUGCAACUACAGGUAAAUUAUUACUGUUUGCGACAAGCUUGAGUAAUAUGUUAAACAAUAGCUUUAAAGUUUUGAAUUCUGUGAUUCACACAGGUUAAGGUAAUAUAAAUCUUGGAAAGAUUUGGUUGCAAUGAGAAACUCGAGCUUCAACCACGGAACUGUUGCUUCUUCACUGGGCUGGCAUUUACCGGGGUACAGACGUAAGUCCCUAGCUUGUUAGGUAGUGUUUUGUAGUUUUGAGAUCUAUCAGCAUGCAAUAACCUCUGCCUCUCUUACAGGAUUUGGGUUCUUCCAGCUGAUCGUCCUGUUUGGUCUUAACUCUUUAAAUAAUAUAUGCAUUACAAACACCAUUCCAUUUUUGAAGGGUUAUCUUUCUUCCUCAAUCCUCCUCCUUUUUAUUUAUUGCUUUGGACUUCCAUAUUCUAUACCACAAUAUAAUGGCAUUUCAUAUUUGAUUUUAAGCUGACAUAUUUCUUGUAUUGUAGAGUGCUGACCGUCUAUUCGCGGGACUGGGAGCUUCAUUCUAUUGUUUUUGCUUUAAAUGGGUGAUCCUUUAAUUUUCUCUCAAAAUAAUUGCUCUAUUGUGUGUUUAUGACAAUAGACAAAUAUUUUUAUGCAAUAAUUGAUGCCUGUUUCUGUUCUAUUGUUCUGUAAAAGGCUAAAACUAAACCAACAGAAUUUUGAAAACAGUUAGGUAACUCACUGAUCAACAUGAGUAGCAUUUAAUAUUGCUAACUUGUAAAGGACUUGGGGUCCAAUUUGUAGUAUGUAUGUUGUCUAGUGUAGAUUUUUAUUAAAAAUAAAUGGAUCUUUAAGUAUGUUGAUAGGAUUAACUUAGUCCUCAGGUUACCUUAAGUCCUUAAGUUUGUGUCAGCUUGAUUCACUUCUCAGUUCUCACUUCUCACAAACAACAACUCUUAUAUUUAUGUGGCUUUCACCAAACUCUUACAUUAUUUUUGCUGAUAUUGUUCUCUCAAGAGAGAAGAAGAUAGAAUGGAGAACCAAGACACCAGAAUAGGAGAAGAAACAGUCCCUUUGUUACAAAAUUCCUCAGAAACAGUACUUGAACACAAAGGAGAUGUAGGAGAUAAUGUUAAUCAAAAUUUAGCAACAAGGGUAUGGAUUGAAUCUAAGAAACUAUGGCGCAUAGUUGGUCCUGCCAUCUUUAGUCGUAUUGCUUCUUAUUCUAUGCUUGUUAUUACUCAAGCAUUUGCAGGUCACUUGGGUGAUCUUGAACUUGCAUCUAUUUCCAUUGCAACUUCUGUUGUUGUUGGUUUCAACCUUGGACUCCUGGUAAGUAUUUCUAGCUAUAAUCAUUUCUUCUCUUAAAAUUCGGGUUUCUCAUAAUUUCAAUCUUUCUUCGUUUGUUUGUUUGCUUGAUUAUUUAGUUAGGCAUGGCGAGUGCGUUAGAAACACUAUGUGGGCAAGCAUAUGGAGCAAAGAAGUACAGCAUGAUGGGGGUUUACCUGCAACGUUCAUGGAUUAUUCUGUUUAUUUGUUCUGUUCUGCUCCUCCCCAUGUACAUAUUUGCUACUCCAAUUCUAAAAGUAUUGGGCCAACCAGAUGAUGUUGCAGAGCAAACAGGAUUAGUUGCUAUAUGGAUGAUUCCUGUUCACUUCGCCUUUACUUUCCAAUUCCCUUUACAGAGAUUUCUUCAAAGCCAACUUAAGAAUGCAGUUGUAGCUUGGGUGACAUUGGUGGCUUUGAUUGUUCAUAUAUUUAAUAAUUGGUUCUUUGUGUAUAGACUUAAGCUUGGGUUGAUUGGUGCUGUAGUCAUUUCAAAUAUUUCCUGGUGGAUUAUUGUUUUGGGAAUGUUUGGUUAUACUAUUUGUGGUGGAUGUCCUUUAACUUGGUCUGGUUUCUCUACUGAAGCUUUUUCUGGACUCUGGGAAUUUCUGAAAUUAUCUGCAGCUUCUGGUGUGAUGUUAUGGUAUGUGCUCAACUGCUCAUUAUCUUUCCUCUUUGAUCCCCUCCAUGUUUCUCAUAAUCAAACAUGUCGAUAUGAGUAUUUGUGUGAUGGAAUAUGUCAUGAGUGUGUUCAAAUCCAUGUGAGUAUUGUGUGUUCAAUUAGGUGCAGAAAUAGUAUCAAUAACACAUCUUCAUUCUGUUUUUUCCAAUCACUGGUUUCUGCAACUCAUAAUGGUGCUAGUUGGUGGGCAGUUGGAAUAUCUGCCUCGCAUUCUUCUAUUCCACUUGUUCCAUGUUAUGAAUUGCCUUUAGUUUCCGAUCACAUGUAACUGUGUAUCGGAAUUUUUUACAGCUUGGAGAAUUGGUACUACAGAAUAUUGGUACUGCUGACCGGCAAUUUAAAGAAUGCUAAGAUUGCAGUUGAUGCUCUCGCAGUCUGGUAUACCCUAUCCCCCUUUUCUAAUUUUUUCUCCAUUGAUUUUUCUGUAAUACGGAGUACUAGACUAAAAUUUAUUUUCAAGCUCCUGUUGUAUUUACAAGAAGUUGAUAUUCUGUUUCACAAAUUCUCAUUGUGUCAUACUGUCAUCUUUGAUUCCUAUUUCAUUUUGACAGUCAAUCUAUCAAUGGAUUGGAAAUUAUGAUUCCUCUAGCAUUCUUUGCUGGUACUGGGUACGAUUUUAACAACUUAACUUCUAUUUCAUUCUGCUUUUAGGUGAAACUAGCUAGGACUUUUAUUUUGAUUAUAAAUUUUUGAAAAACAAAAUUCAUGCAUGUCAAGUUCUUGCAACCUUGAAUCAAGAUAUAUUUAAAACUGUAAAGUAAUGCAGGUUUUAGUAGUAAGAAGAUAUGAAAAAACCAAAAUCGUAAGUUACAAAUGUGGUACAUUAUUUGGUUGGCCAUCCACUAAUAUUCAUUUCUUUAGAUACAAACACACAAAACCAAUGACUGCAUAGCACAAAAGAAGACCAACAUGACAAUGGCACUUUGCUGGCUGUAUUACACCACUGACCACACAAAUUACAAAUGACAUUCAUAUCAGAUUCAGGGCUAUCAAUGUAGACCAAUAACGUGCAUGUGAACUAUAUGUUUUCAGUAGGUAAAUUGAUGACAGGGUCGGUUCUACCAAAGAUGUUGAAAAUAAUUAAUGAAUGUGGUUUGGUAUGAAUUGUGAUCCAGAGUGAGAGUUGCAAACGAACUUGGAGCAGGAAAUGGCAAAGGAGCAAAAUUUGCAACAAUUGUUUCGGUGGUUACCUCAAUUUUUAUUGGGGUCAUAUUUUGUGUCUUAAUCGUGGUCCUCCACGACAAAAUCGCAUUUAUUUUCACUUCAAGCACUGAAGUCAUCAAUGCAGUUGAUAGGCUAGCAAUUAUAUUAGCAUUCACCAUUCUCCUCAACAGCGUUCAACAAUUCUCUCUGGUGAGUUUUUCAACACAUCCAAAUCCAUUUUAGUAUGUUAGAUCUAUAAAGUAAAAAUGUGAUUUCAAAUCUAUAUACUUGUGUCAUGAUGUAAUGUGGCUAAAUUGAUAGCCCUGAAUCUACACAUCCAUGCUUACCGAUAUUCACAAUUUAUGUAGGGGUGGCUGUUGGAUCAGGAUGGCAAGCAUAUGUGGCCUACAUCAACAUUGGUUGCUACUACAUCAUUGGUGUCCCUCUUGGAAUUGUAAUGGGAUGGGUCUUUCAUUUAGGUGUCAUGGUAAGGACUAAAACUUACAGGGUCAACUAUUCUUCUGGUUGAGCUCAUGUCUGUUAAAUCUGAGUCACGAUUCAAGCUCUAUAAUCUGAAAAUAAUAUAAACACAUACGUUCCAGAUUCCAAAACUGGUCCUAAAUUUAUUUAUUGUUACGAACAGGCUGACUGAGUCACUGUUGUGUAAAUGGUUCCCAGGGUAUCUGGUCAGGGAUGAUUGGUGGGACUGCAGUUCAGACGUUGAUAUUGGUCAUCAUUACAAUUCGUUGCGACUGGGAUAAGGAGGUGAAAAAUGAUUAGAUGAACAAAUAAAAGUACUUACAAAUUUUUGCUCCUUUAAAUCUGAUUUGCAUCACUCCUGUUUGGUGUUUUGCAGGCUGAGAAAGCUAGAUCACGUAUGAAGAAAUUGUCAAGUGGUUAACAACGGAAAUAGGCAUUUUUAGAAUAAAUUAAGCCGUGGUUGAGAGCAAACAUGUGUGAGCUAUUAUUUUUUUUUUUUUUUUGGUACCAACUAGCCUCUGCGCAAGAACAAAGUAUCUAUAGUGCUCAUUAACUGAUAAUGUUCUAAAACUAGUAUAAUCAAUUGAUCAAUUUUAAAGAAAGCAUGUAUUCAAAGACUUACUCAUAGUUGCACCAGUACGAAUUUGCUGAUCAGACAUUAAAACAAAACAAGCCUGUGGCUCAAUGGUAGCACUCCUCUCACAAAGUGGAGAGGUUUGUGGGUUCGAAACACGUCAACAGCUGAUUGUUGAUAUAAGUUUCCACACGUAAUUUAAAAGGGGUAGGGAUCUCCUCAACCCCGCUUGCCAAUAAAAAAAAAAUACUAAUAGAUGUCAAUUCCUCUAUCCGAUUAACCUUUUUUUUUUUUUUAGAAGCCACUACGUAUAUACCACACUAUAAUUGUAUAUUUGUAUAUCAAUAAAAGUUGUAUUAAGCUGAAAAAAACACACCACUAUAAUGUACGCGAUAAUAUUCAAUCUACCACACGCAAAAUAGAAAAUAAUUUGUACUAUAUGAAAAAAUUCAAUGAACUGCAUUAUAUGUAUGAUUUUUGGUCUCUCCUUUCUGGGUCUGAUCAAAUUAUUAGUUUGCAGAAAUAGUAUCAAUAAUCUGUCUUUAUUCUGUAUCAUCUGCUCCACUUCACUUUUUUUUUUUUUCGAAAUAUGCGGACUUAGUGGUAUAUAUGCCUGUGCUAGUGACUGACUGACUGACUGUCUGUCUAUCCCUCCACCAGUUUAUCAAUCGAUUUCAAUUAACAUAAUCAUCCACUUCAGCUCUCCCCAUGGAAUUCACUUGUAGUAGGUGUUCAGAACCAUAACACUGGUAGCGGAAAAUUUCUGUCUUGCCUGUUGUGUCACAUUGUCAAUUGCAAACCAUUUUAGUUCCCAACUUCCCAUUAUUUGGAAGCAAGAAUGUAUAGCUAUGUUGACAGAAUUACCUCGGGUUACCAUUAGUCCAUUACAAUCUGUAGCAUUUAAGUACAGUUUUAACUUUUAACAUUACCCCAUAUUUCUGUCAGACAUUCUAUCUUCAAUCAUCUCUCAAUCUACAGUACGAACUUUAAACUUUUUAACAAUCCCUUCACCACAUGUUGUUCCAACUGUUUCAUUAAUCACAUAUAAUUUGUUACUUUAUAAUGCUUGAAGAGUUAUCAUAAGCAAAUCUGAUUGAAUAUAGAUUGAGUGAAGAAUUAUUAAACAUGGAGAACAAAAGAGAAAAACUAGUCCCUUUGUUACAAAAUCUAGCAACAACAGUUGAACUCGAAGAAGAUGGAGGAAACAAUUCUGAUCAAGAUUUCGUAACAAGGGUGUGGAAUGAAUCUAAGAUACUAUGGCACAUAGUUGGUCCAUCCAUCUUUAGCCGCGUUGCAACUUUUUCUAUGAGUAUUAUCACUCAAGCCUUUGCAGGUCAUUUGGGUGAUCUUGAGCUAGCUUCUAUUUCCAUUGCAUUCACUGUUGUUGUUGGUUUCAACUUCGGUCUCUUGGUAGGUAUUUUCUUCCAUUACCUCCUUCAAUUUGUUGUCCAUCACAAGAAAUAAAAAAAAAUUCUUCCUAAUUCGUUGGAACUUGGAAAUAUAUAGUUAGGCAUGGCGAGUGCAUUGGAAACACUAUGUGGGCAAGCAUAUGGAGCAAAGAAGUACAGUAUGAUGGGGGUUUACAUGCAACGUUCAUGGAUUGUUCUGUUUAUGUGUGCUGUUCUGCUUCUCCCCAUGUACAUAUUUGCUACUCCAAUUCUAAAACUAUUGGGCCAACCAGACGAUGUUGCGGAACAAUCAGGAUUAGUGGCAAUAUGGAUGAUUCCUUUUCACUUCUCCUUUGCGUUUCUAUUCCCUUUACAAAGAUUUCUCCAGAGCCAACUUAAGACGGGAGUUAUAGCUUGGGUGUCACUGGUGGCUUUGAUUGUUCAUAUUUUUAUUAGUUGGUUUUUUGUUUACAGACUUCAGUAUGGCUUGAUUGGUACUGCAGUUACUUUGAAUGUUUCUUGGUGGAUUUCGGUAUUCGGAUUGUUUGGUUACACUGUUUGUGGUGGAUGCCCUUUAUCUUGGUCUGGGUUCUCUACUGAAGCUUUUUCUGGACUCUGGGAAUUUCUGAAAUUAUCUGCAGCUUCUGGUGUGAUGUUAUGGUAUGUCCUCAUCAUAUUUCCUCUCGAUCUGAGCAUCUGUGUGAUGUAAUAUGGCAUGAGUGUGUUCAUAUCCUAGUGAAUAAUGUGUGUUCAAUUAGGUGCAGAAAUAGUAUCAAUAACACAUCUUCAUCUGUUUUAUUGCAAUCACUGCAUUCUGAAACUCAUGAUGGUGCUAAUUGGUGGGCAGUUAGACUAUCUCGCCCACAUUCUUCUAUUCCACUAGUUUCCGAUCACAUGUAAAUAAUUGUGUCUAGAGGUAUUUCUUACAGCUUGGAGAAUUGGUACUACAGAAUAUUAGUACUGAUGACGGGCAAUUUAAAGAAUGCUAAGAUUGCCGUUGAUGCUCUCUCAGUCUGGUAUACCCUAUCCCCUCUUCUUCUUCUUUUUUUUUUCUAUUGAAUUUUCUGUAAUACUAGACUAGAAUAUAUUUUCAAGCUCAUGGGGUAUUUACAAGAAGUUGAUAUUUUGUUUCACAAAUUCUAAUUAUGUAUUCUUUGGAUCCUAUUUAAUUUGGACAGUCAAUCUAUCAAUGGAUGGGAAAUGAUGAUUCCUCUAGCCUUCUUUGCUGGUACUGGGUACGUAUUUAAAGUUUAAACAACUUCAAUUGUGUUGCAUUCUGCUUGCAGGUGAAACUAGGACCUUUAUUCUGAUAAACUUUUGAUAAACAAUAAAUUAUGCAUUGCCAGUUCCUGCAACCUUGAAUCAAGAUUCAUAUUCUAAACUGUAAAAUAAUACAUGUUUUAGUAGUAAGGAAGGUAUGAAAAAAAAUCGCAAGCUUAAGUUACAAACGUGGUACAUUAUUGGUUGGCCAUGCCAUCCAUUAAUAUUCAUCUCAUUAGCAUUACAAGCUCAAACACAUGAAAGCAACAACCCACAUAGGUUAAAAGUCAGACACAGAGAGAAUGUUGUAUUGGAUAGCUAACUAGACCUUUAACUCUUUAAGUAAGACACUGACAAAACAUGACAGUGACUUCGCUGGCUGGAUUACUCCACAGACAUUACAUUCAUAUCAGAUUCACGGCUAUCAAUUUAGGGCAAUAACUAGGGUAUUCAUGACAUGACGACUCCUUUAACAUGCAAUCAUGCAUGGUGCAUAUUUUGAAAAUAAUUGUUAGCAGGAUCUACUGAAUUGUGAUGCAGAGUAAGAGUUGCAAAUGAGCUCGGAGCAGGAAAUGGCAAAGCAGCAAAAUUUGCAACAACUGUUUCGGUGGUUACCUCAAUAUUCAUUGGCCUCAUUUUUUGUGUUUUAAUCUUGGUCUUCCACGACAAAAUCGCAUACAUUUUCACUACUAGUACUGAAGUCAUCAAUGCAGUUGACAAGCUUGCAAUUAUAUUAGCAUUCACUAUUCUCCUCAACAGUGUUCAACCAGUUCUCUCUGGUGAGUUUUUUUUACACACCCAAAUCCAUUUUUAGUAUGGCCCUGAAGUAAUAUCCGUUCUCGGGGAAGAAAAUCUUUAAAUCUAAAUACAUGUCAUGGCUGAACCGCAGUUCAUUUUUUGUAAACGCAAGGUUACUGGCUUACUGGCCUACUGUCGAUCUCGUGUAAUAAUGCACACUUUAUGUAGGGGUGGCUCUUGGAUCAGGAUGGCAAGCAUAUGUGGCCUACAUCAACAUUGGUUGCUACUACAUCAUUGGUGUCCCUCUUGGAAUUACAAUGGGAUGGGUCUUUCAUUUAGGUGUCAUGGUAAGAACUAAAUCUUACAGGGUCAACUACUUCCCAGGACUUUGGAUGUGUGGACCUGGAGGCUGGAGCCAGAUCUGCAGUCUUAUGAUUGAGCUCGUUUGUUUACAUUAGACAUAGACCAAUGUAGAUCAUCAAUAUGGCAGCACAUUUAUCGUGAAUUUGACAGUGAAAAUUUGACUCACAAUUUAAGUUCUAUAAUCUGAAAUUAAUAUAAACACAUACGUUCCAGAUUUCAAAACUAGUCCUAAAUUUGUUUAUUAUCACUAACAGGCUGACUUGUGUAAAUGGUAUACAGGGUAUAUGGUCUGGGAUGAUUGGUGGGACUGCAGUUCAGACGUUGAUAUUGGUCAUCAUUACAAUUCGUUGCGACUGGGAUAAAGAGGUAAAAAAUGAUCGGAACAACGAAUAGAAAUACAUAUACAUUUCUGAUUUCCAUUACCCUUGUUUGGUGUUCUGCAGGCUGAGAAAGCUAGCUCACAUAUGGAGAAAUUGUCAAGUGGUUAAUGAGGAAUAUAGGCAUUAGCAUUGUUAAGAAAAAGCCGCUAUUGAGGGCACAUAUCAUAUGUGAGCUAUAUUAUUUUUGUUACCAACUAGCACCGUAUUCAAAAGACAUAUACAUCGUUGCACCAGUACAGAAUUUGCUGAUCAAUUCUGUUGUUUCUGAGAGAUCCUUACAUAGCAUGCGCGCAACAAUUUCGUGCAGAGUAUGUAAUAUUUAUGCAAAAUGUAGUACAACACACACUGUAAGCAAUAGCGUGCCGACAACUUUUUUGAUAAUUUACUCUGCAUUUACACAAACUCGCAAAUCGCAAUGUGCACCAGUAUAAAGAUCUAUUAUAGCACCACAAUCCAAAUCACAAUUCAAAGAAAAAAGAAAAAGCUAAGAAGACAAACUAAACUCACUGAAUCCACUUUCAUCUGUUUGCUUUUCACGAAAACGAUUUAACUGUCUCUAAAAUCGGAAACGAACUCAAUCUACCUGAAGUAAACUUUAUAGAGUCAUCUGGACGUAUAACUCGUUCUCCAAACCUAGCUGACUCACUUAUUCCAAAUCUUCUUCCUGUCUUCACAAACCUUCCUUGACAUAAAUCUUUACUUUCUCCAAUCUUCUCUUUCAACUCAUCAACUAAAUCCCAUAUAACAACUCCAAGUGAUCCUUUCUUGUUCAUGAACAACAAUGAAAUCUUUUCUUUACAACUCUCUAAUCUUUUUAAAACACAAACUAAUUCAACUGAGUCAGCAAAACUCAGAUUACUGAUUCUUUCUUCAAGCUCAUUAACUCUGACAAUAAUCUCUCUUUGAGCAAAACACUUGUCUUCUUCAACUAAAUCCAUUGUUUCAUAAACAAGUUUAUUUGCUUGAACAUUUAACAAAUCGGGUGCUUUGCAAAUUUCUUCAUGAAGAUUAACUAAUACAUCUAACUCUCUUAAUAAAUCUUUGUUCAGAAGUGAAGAUAUCCUUUCGACCCUUUCGUUGUCUUUAUCCAUUGAAGAAGAAGUAAGAAAAAAACCCAAUGUUCUUGAAGUAGAUAGAAGAGUUUCUAAAAAUCUAGCAUACCAUCUAACCCAAAAAGACAAAUUCCAUGAUUCAGGUGUAGAAUUAUCACGAAAAUUAGAUAAAUUAAGAUAAUUUCUACCACCAACAGAAGGAUAAAUAGAGAGUUGAUCUUGAAGAAUAAAAGAACCACGUUUAAUAAUAUAAUGAAUAAUUAUUAAACAUUUAAAAGCAACAAAUGAAUUAUGAGUAUUAUGAAGACGAACCAUUAAAGCAUUUAUACAACUUGAAGCUAUAUUUCUUGAACUAUGACCAUAAGAAAGAAUCAUAUUGAUGUGUUUUUGAUUUGGUGGAUUUGAGAUUUCAUGUGUUGUUGAACGAAGAAUUGCUAGAUGCAUAGAUUGAUUGUUUGGUUUUGAAAGAAUAGCUGCUUUACUUAAUGAUACUUUAUCUUUAAUAACACCAAAAACUUCUUUCAAGCUGAGUUUCGUUCUUCUUCCCAUUGAAAACAGAGAGAGAAAAAAAACAGAGUAAAGAUGAGUUAAAGAAGAAAGUGAAACAGAGUUGAAAGAUGCCAUUAUAUAUACAAGUCAAAACGAUUUCUAUAAGGAAAGUUUCUAAAACGAUUGCUCUGUAUUUUUUUGAAGGACAAGAAAGGGAUUUGACUUGAGAAGGAAACUUGGACAUGUUGAGGAAAUUUGAGGACAGAGAAAUAUAGAAUAGAAACUUUCAAGUUGGUCAGUCAGUUAAGUUAAAAGGGCAGGUGUUAUUUUUGCACACUUCUGUCAAUACUCAGUAUAACUCCAAAAUAUACAGUUUCAUGUCUUGUUCAAAAUCUCGAAUUCCUCGAGACCUCGACAAGUCUAAAACUCGAGAUCUUGUCUCGAGAGUUUAUUGAAUAAAUUUUGAUAUAUAUUUAUAUUUAAUUAAUAUUUUUAAAUUUAAUUUUUAAUAGAUUUUUUUCUUGAUUUAAAAAAGUUACGAGCAAUAACCCAAAUUUAACUAAUUUUUAGUUUGUUAAAUCAAUUUUAACGAGAUCUAUAAGUUGAAUUCUACGAAUUUCACAAUUUCAAAAUUUUUAUUCAGAACAAACCAAUAUUUACAAUCGAUAGCAAUCCUUUAAUUUAACUUUAAAAAAAAAAAUGAAAUAAUUUAUAAAUUUUUUAAAAUUAUUAUAUCUUGAGCAUCUUAACACUAAAAAUAUGAUUUCUCACAAGAUCUCAAAAUUUUUCGCGAGAUCUCGAAGAUAUCAACAAGGUUGGUAUGAAUACCAUACCGUUUGAGAUCUCACAAAUAUCUUGUACCGAACAAUCCCCUUUCCGAGAUCUUGUGAGAUCCCACGAGAUUUUGAACAAUAGUUUCAUGUAUGACAUCUAUUUGUGAUCCUGAACUUUUUUUUUUAUCCAAAAUAAAUUUUAUUGAUAAAAAUUUAAAUUUUUUUACAAAGUUAGAGGACAAGCGCAUUACAAACUGCGCUGCAAAUUAAACAUUUUUUGAAUUGCAAAACCAAUCCUACAUAAUACAUAUUCAUUGGAACCCGCCGUCAUCACAUUGUUAUUCAUCACUUUUUGUACCCUCCUGUGAAGUUCAACUGCUUCUAGUACUAGAAACCCAAAAGUGUCAAAAGUAAAAAGAAUAAAACAAUCUUGGUUCGCGGCAAAUGCUCUCUUAUGUUUCUUUAUCUUAGUUGUAGCUGGCUGUCUGACCCACUUUAAAAUUUUUAUUAUCAAACCCCACUAUCGGAGAUGCCCCUGUGAUGUCAACACAUGCAUGUUUCCCUUCUAACCAACUGUAUAGCAAAACAUCAGUUGGACGUAGUGUUGAUCUGCCUUUUGACAGGUCUAUAAGAAAAUUGACUGGAACCUCUUUCUUAACUUGUAUUCUUGCUCGCCGUACUACAUCAUAUAAUAUAUCACACAGAUGAUCGUGUCUGUAUUUAAAACUGGGAUAAUAUUUAUUGACAAUCUAUUUUAUUGACAAACUCAAAAAAUUACACAACGCGCUAAGAAUUGCGUCGCAAGUCCUUUCUGAAUAGUAAAUUAGAUUCUUUUAAAUAUAUAUUUAUUCAAUUUUUUUUUUUAGGAUUGCAAUACAUUUUCUAUAAUAGUUUAUUUAAUUAGUGAUAGAAGCAAAAUUGUUGAAGUUUUUUUUUUUUUCGUUAGCUGCAAAAUUGUUGAAGAUUAAGGAAAGAACAGGUAGGAAGCUGACACUAAUGAAUGUUAACAUUAUUUUGUAGAAAUGAUCAAAUUCAUGUCGAUGUCAAUGUAACUGUAGUUUAUUUGAAAAAAAUCUCCACUAGAUUCAUGUUUAUAAAAAUUUGCCAACAUAAAAAUAGUUUAGAAGAAAUAUCUCGUAAUUUUGGUUGAACUGUCGUAAACAACUGUCCAUUCCUGGCUUAAGAUAAUCUAAAUUGACUUAGAAUUGAGUAAUGACAAUCUUUUUACCUAUUGACUUGAUUAAGUCUAUCUAAACUUUAUAAUCAUCAUCCAUAUCCUACUCAAAGAUGUUGAGCUACAAAAUCUACUCCCGUCUACGGAUUUAAUUCCUGUGUGGAGUAGAUUUUGAAGUAUUUCAACCUCCCAGUUCAAUGUAAAUCAGUUUUUUGUUUUCGUGCACACUUAUGUCCCAAAUGAAACUCAGACUAGUCUCAUUCGCAACCAGGUUUGAAAUGACCAAGUGAUGUUGAAGUCACUUAAGCAAUAAAUGUAUUGUAUUAUGCAUCAUUAGUCAGUAGCAUAGUUCAAAAUAUCGGUAUCGACUAAUGUAUCGAUCUCCAAAAAAUAGAUAUAUCGGUUUUACAGGAAAACGGCCAGUCGGCAAUUAAGCUGUCUAUGUAUUGUAAUCUUAUCAUCUUUUUAUUUUCAUUCAAUUCUCUAACAACUGACAAGAACCAAACUUGCUGAAGGCCAGUGGCAUGAUAGAUACCCCAUAUACUCUCAUUAUUUAUGUCGGUUCAUUAAGGAAUGGGCCUUUUCAGUGCAGAUUUUGUUCAAUUUUCAAUCAGAACACAUAAGGUUUCAAUAUUAUUUAUCACAUUGAAAUCAUACUGCGGAAAAAAAAAAUCAUACUGGGAAAAUUCAAGAACAUUCAUAAUACAUCUGGUCUCAAAUUCAUCAGUAAAACUUAUUUAUACUCGAAUGCGAUCCAAAAGAGAUUUUGGGUGUAUGUGGUUACUCAGCAGAGCUUCCAUGUAUUCCUUGUAUGUCAUGCCAUGAUAUUGUGCUGGAUUGUUUUCACUGUCAACCAACUCUGUCACUGGGGUGACUACAUUGUCCAAACAAGGACCAUGUGUUGCUGCCAAGGAUAGCCGUGUAGCUUUAUUGUUCACUAGUGCUCGAUGUAAUACACUCUUGUACUUUCCGUUGCUCAAUAUCUACAAAGCACAAUGCCCAUAACCAUACGAUUAUAUUCAUAGUCGAAGAUUAAUCAAGACAGGUAAUAUAUUUUUCAUAAAGUUUGUUUUACAGUAGGGUUGGAUCGACUUUGAUAUAUAGUACAUACCUCCAGAUGAUCUGCAGUGUUAACUAAAUAUGUAUUUGGUAAGGGAUGAACAUUGACCCACUUCCCAUUGUGAUUCACUUGAAGUCCACCGAUUUGGUUCUGUAUAAGGAGGGUCAAUAAGCCAUGAUCUGAAUGUGGUGGCAAGCCCAUCGCUAUUUCUGGCUGUGGACAGGGUGGAUAGAGAUUCGCGAUGAGGACCUGAUAACAAGACUCCAAUUCCAUUGCCUUGUCUAUGUAGCAUUCUUCUAACCCCAGGCUUUCUGAUAUUCCUUUAAGUAAUUCUCUUGCUACAUGUCUUGUUCUUUUCGAAUAUUCUAAUGAAAUUUCACUAUAGAAUUUUCACAACAAUUUUACAUAAUUAAAAAGGAACGCAACAGCCUAUAUAUGUAUUAAAAUGAGCAAAAAUAUAUGACCCCGAAGUCACCUGAAACUGGCAGGUCUAGGUAGAGAAUGAAAUUGUGGAUGCGUCCGAACUCUUAGAAAAUCUCUCCAGAAAAACACCUUGUCCACGGAAGGGUUGAAGCUCGUCCCAAAUCUGAUGGGAGCCAACACAUCCACUUCAGCACAUUGCAACUUCUCCUCCUCCGCCAGAUUAAAAAAAUCUGUGCACAUAUCAAGCAUUCUUUCCAUCAAACUCUCUGGAACACCAUGGUUGAUCACCUACAUACCACCCAUAUAACAACACACUUCUAUUAAAACUGUAAACAUGGACAUAAAAUUUUGUAAAUUUUUUAUAAUUUAUUUUACCAUGAAGAAUCCCCAGUCUUGACAUGCUUUAGCAAGGUCUUGGAUAACUUUGGCACGUUGAUCUGGAAUAUUAGAAUUCAGUAGUGAGAAAUCAAUUAUAGGAAUUUGUUCAUCUGCUACCACAUCUUGUUGAUUAAGAGUGGUGGAGUAAGAGUACUUGGAAGGUAUGGAAGUGAAAUCACUUGACUCAGCCAAGUCCUUAACACAUCCUAUCUUUGGUCUGAAAUGUGCAUCAGUUUCAACAUGAGCUUGAGUUAUUGUUGCAACCAUAAUUGGAAUACGGAUCAAGAUAGAGAAGAAGAAGAAGAAGAAGAAGAAUCUGUACUAAUUGGUUGGUGGAGUUUGAACUGUUUGAGUGAAGAUAACAUAGAUUUCAUUCUGAAACAAAUAAAUCAACAAGUCCAAAAAGACAAACUAACUUAGCCACCCUUCUUCUUAUGUGUAAAUUUCCCUAUGGAUUGUGAAAUGAGAGGAAUGCUGAUGGGCCAUAGAGUUAUUGGGCAUUCACAACCACGCAUCCUAAAGCUGUGCUGUUGUGCACAUCUUGAAAGUAAAGUGUUCUUCUAAGUUCUAACUAACAACUGGCAAGAACCAAACUUGCUGAAUUUCAGUGGCACGAUACAUUAAGGAAUGGCCCUUAUGGCCUUAUCAGUUCAGAUUUUUGUAAUAUUCCUUCAGUACAGAAACAAGUAAAACUUGUACAGUAAAAAGGUUUCAAUAAUUGUUUAUGACAUUGAAAUCGUACUCUGAAAAUUUAAGCACUUUCAUCGGUGAAUUGAACUGGAUCCAAAUGAGAUUUCCCAGCUAAUCGGUUGCUCAGCCGAGAGUGUAAUUCCUCCUUGUAUGUCAUCCCAGGAUAUAAUGCUGGAUAGAUUUCAUUCUCAAUCAACUCUGGCACUGGGGUGACUACUUUGUCCGGGCAAGGUCCAUGGGCCACAACCAACGAGAUUCGUGCAGUUUUGUUGUUCACUAUUGCUCGAUGUAGCACACUCUUGUACUUUCCAUUGCUCAAUCUCUGCAAAUCGCAAAGUCUAUAUAUAAACUAAGAUCACAAUCGAGAAAAUCUAACAGAAAAAAAAGGUAUAUUAAUUUAUUCUGAGAAAUUUUUUAUAAAAAAAAAUAAAAAAUGUCAUUUACCAUAAUGUCAGAUUGCUUUUGAUUUACUACAUACCUCUAUAACUAGAAUAGUAUUUGGUGAGGCAUGAACAUUUACCCACUUCCCAUUAUGAUUCACUUGAAGUCCACCAUUUUGGUUCUGUAUAAGGAGUGUCAGGAGGCCAGAAUCUGAAUGUGGCGGCAAGCCCAUAGCUAGUUCUGGUUGUGGACAAGCUGGAUACAGAUUGCCGACGAGAACCUGAAAACAAGACUCCAUCUCCAUUUCCUUGUCUAUGUAGCAUUUUUCCAACCCCAGGCUUUCUGAUAUUCCUUUAAGUAACUCCCUGACUAUUUGCCUUGUUCUUUGGGAAUAUUCCAUUGCAAUCUCACUGUAGAAUUAUUCAUCACAAAUUUACAGCAACAGAAAACAAAACAAAUCAUAUGUUCUCAAUUUAUUGUCGCUUCGAGACUUUUUAUUUUUUUAAUGGUAUUAAAAUUAACGAAAUAUUAAUGACGUACGCAAAAAUGAAGUACCUGAAACCAGAUGGUUUUGGUGGAGAAUAGAACUGUGGAUGCACCCAGACUCUAAGAAAAUCUCUCCAGAAGAACACUUUGUCCACUGAAGGGUUGAAGCUCGUUCCAUACCUGAUCGGAGCCAACACAUCCUCUUCAGCGCACUCCAGCUUAACCUCCUCCGUCUGAUUAAAAAAAUCUUGACAGGCUACAAACAUUCUUUCCAUCAAACUCUCUGGGACGUCAUGGUUGAUCAACUGCAUGUCAUGUAUACAUGUACCCAGCCAUACACCACAAGUUAAAAAGAGAUAAUAAACAUGGGCUUAAUUAGAUUUAGGUUUAUGUCAGAAUACUGUAUGUAUUACCAUGAAGAAUCCCCAGUCUUGGCAUGCUUUUCCAAGUUCUUGAAUAACUUUGGCACGUUGAUCUGGAAUAGCAGAAUUCAGGAGAGAGAAAUCAAUUAUUGGAAUUUUUUCUUCUUCUGCUACCACCUCAAUACCAUCUUCUUCAUUAAAAGUAUUGAAGUAGGUGUACUUGGAGGGUAUGGAAGUGAGAUCACUUGAUUCUGCCAAGUCCUUAACAUAUCCCAUCUUAUUUCUUGAGCUAGUAAAACGUUUUUCAACUGCAUCUUGAACUAUUGCAGCCAUAUAAUUUCAAUACAGAUUGAUCAGAUAGAUAAGAUUGAAGAAGAAGAAUUUGUAGUACUAAUGAGAGUUUUAGUGGGGAUUAUUUUACUGUUUUUUUUUUAAGAACAAGAUAACCAAACAAACAAGCUUGAAAAAGACAAACCGGCCGUUUCUUUAUACGUUUGUAACAAAGGACCCCCACAUGGUUGUCGGAGAAAAAAACAAGGGACCUCACAUAAGUAUUUUCCAGACAUGAGAUAUGAUUCAUAACCAGUUUUGAAUAGAUGAACCAAAUACUGGAUGGUUCUAAAUUAUCAGUCUAUGUGUGGGUGCAAAAGUCCGGUCGCCGUACCAGUCUGGUGGCCGUUGCUGAAGUCCAGUCCAUUAAAGAAUGAGGGGGUACGGCUAUCACUGAUAGAAUAAAGUUCAGUACUAUGGUGCAGUAAUUUCUAUGGCAUAUUACUGAAUUUCAAUCGUCCAGUGUUACACCUUGUGAUACAUUUUGACUGUUAGAUUGUUAGAAUGAAAAAAAAAUAAAAAUCCUAGUACGUCGUCAUCCUAGCGUUUUACCAUGUGUUACAUUUAAUUGAAUGUUGCAGAGAAGGUUGAAGAUGAUUCAAUCCAUUAUUUGAAACUGUUGAAGAUGAUGUUGAAAUUUCAAUGAUUCAAUAUAAUCAUAACAAAUAUGUUCCCUACCUUGGCUUCAAUUAUGUUGCUGGUUGCAGACUUGAUCUGUUGUAAGUUUUGUGACAAGUACUUCAAUAAUACAAAUAUCAAAUAAGUAUGGUACAAGACCUUUCACAAUAGCACAAAAUGAUUGGAGUCUAUUUUUGGGUGGAAUGUCAGUGGCCUAAAUUAUCCCUACUUCAUUCUAAAAUGGUUGAUUAUACUAUUUUUUUUUUGAUAAAUAAUUACAUGUAUAGCACUGUAUUUAGGAGUCAAUAGAAUUCCAUCUUAUUGAAAAAAGUUAAAGAAUCAACUAAUCAAGUAAACUAAUUAACGGAUAAUGAUAUAUUAAUCAUGAUAUCAAACAAUGAAUUACAUUGGCGGACAAUCAUACAUAAUUACUUAUAUGAGUGUGCUGAUAGGCACAAUUCAUACUUAGUAGUACACAUGACCAAUAUGGGUUAUCGCCAAUAUAUUGCUAACCAAGGAGAAUUAAAAUCCAAAUCUCCCAUCAAGGCUUACUGUGGUGUAUGAAAUAUCUCAAGUCUUGGUUUGAGGUUAUGUUCCACACGAAUCUUGCUGUGUGGAACAAAGUCGGACUCCAAGUCUUGCAUCUCAUUGUUGAUCUUGCAUAAGAAAUGUAGCUGUUCGUUAUUCUACUGCGAGUAAUUGUGGUUACUCCUAUAGAUGUGUUUUGAGGGCAAUAAUGGCAUGUAAUGUGUUAAUUCUUAAUUGUGCAUGGUUGCUAUAGUAUAUUGAGUUUUACUUAUUUGACCGAAGACCGGCAACAACAUCGGAGAAUAUGAACAAAAGUUAUUGAAUAUAAUGCCUUGGGAUUUCAUCCUCGCUCAUCCCGGUGCGUCGAGCACCAUACCGCUCGCUAAUGUCAAUAUUGUUCCCCUUUAGUCACUGCGGAUUUCCAACAGUAGAGGGUUUUGGAUCAGGGCCCACCCAUGUGGUUUACCCCAAAAGGCCUUGACACUAGUUAGAGUAUGGUUAAACUCUAUAUACUACCAAAACAACCACUUUCUAGACAAUGUGAGACUAACCCCAACUCAUGGGUGUUACAUUGAAGUACUCCGGUGGCAUAAUAAAUACCCCAUAUGCUCUUAGUACAAUUUUACUUCAGUGGCAUGAUAAAUACUUUAUCAGAGAUUUAAAUUUGAAAUCACUGUGAAAAUUCAAGCACUUCCAAACCGGGUCCAAAUGAGAUUUCCCAGCUAAUCGAUUGCUCAGCCGAGAGUACUGCUGGAUUGGUUUCAUUCUCAACCAACUCUGCCACUGAAGUGACUGCUUUGUCCGGACAAGGCCUAUGAGUCUCUACCAACGAGAUUCGUGUAAUUUUGUUGUUCACUAGUGUUCGAUGUAACACACUCUUGUACUUUCCAUUGCUCAAUCUCUGCAAAUCAAGAACCACAAAAGGCAUAAAAGCAAAAUUUGUUAGUAAAAGCCUAAAAGGUAAUACAUAAAAUCAGUUUGUAUCGAAAGUUUUUUGAACUCUUGAGUAUUUCUGAUAGAUUUCAGGGAAUCAGUCUACCAAUAAAAAGUGGGGACGCAGACAGACAUAGAGCAGGUCAAUUUUCCGGUGCUGCAUAAAUUCACUGCAAUCAAAUAAACUUAAAAUCUUACGGUCACAGUUGCAUUGUGGCCAGUUUCAUGCUUCUUUUUUGCAUUAUGAUGGUAUCAAGCUUAACUCGAAUCUUGCAGUUGCUUGAAGAAAUGUAAUACCCCGGGUCGAAAAGUGGUUUACCGAGGGGUGGGUCCUACGACAUCUAAGAGGGGAUGUCGUGACUUUAGAAUACAGAUAUAAAUCCAUCAUAUAUUAUCACCGAGGUUUUUUGGGCUCACUUGGCUCCAAAGUUCGAAAGAACUCCGGAGUUAAGCGUGCUCAGGUGGAAGUAAUCACAGGAUGGGUGACCCCCAAGGGGACACGUAUAUGUUUUGCAUCAAUAGCCACUCAAGUUGAUUGAUAUACAUGCCCAUGAAUCAUCUUCUAUUGGUCUUAUUAAGUUUGUUUGUUUAUUUGUUUUUGUUUUUUUGUUUUUUCAUUAAAUUCUCUAACUAAUUAGCAACUGAUAAGAACGAACGAAAUUUGCUGAAGUUCAGCGGCAUGAAUGCAUGAUAGAUACUCCACAAGUCCACAUGCUAUUAUUUAUAUGUCGGUCCAUCAAGGAAUGGCCCUUAUUAGUCCAGAUUUUUGUAAUUUUCCUUCAGAAACACACAAACAAGUAAAGUUGUACAAUAAUAAGGUUUCAAUAUUAUUUAUCGCAUUGAAAAUUUGAAAUCAUACACUGAAAUUACAAGCACUUUUCAUCGGUGAACGUUUUAUGUUUGAACCGGAUCCAAAUGAGAUUUCCCAGCUAAUCGGUUGCUCAGCCGAGAGAACAUUUCCUCCUUGUAUGUCAUCCCAGGAUAUACUGCUGGAUAGGUUUCAUUCUCAACCAACUCUGCCACUGGGGUGACUACUUUGUCUGGACAAGGUCCAUGGGUCUCUACCAACGAGAUUCGUGUAGUUUUGUUGUUCACUAUUGCUCGAUGUAACACACUCUUGUACUUUCCAUUGCUCAAUCUCUGCAAAUCGCAAAGUCCAUAUAUAAACUAAGAUCACAUUUUGCAACAUAACAAGACAAGCAUAGUGUGAGCUACUAUUACUGUCCGAUCGAUCUUGAUUUAGUACAUACCUCUAGAUGAUCUGCAGUGUUAACUAGAAUAGUGUUUGGUGAAGCAUGAACAUUGACCCACUUCCCAUUGUGAUUCACUUGAAGUCCAUUUUGGUUCUGUAUAAGCAGGGUUAAUAAGCCAAGAUCUGAAUGUGGUGGGAAGCCCAUCGCUAGUUCUGGCUGUGGACAAGGUGGAUAUAGAUUAGCAACAAGGAUCUGAAAACAAGAAUCAAACUCCAUUGCCUUCUCUAUGUAGCAUUCUUCCAACCCUAGGCUUUCUGAUAUUCCUUUGAGUAAUUCCCUGACUACUUGUCUUGUUCUUUGGGAAUAUUCCAUUGCAAUCUCACUGUAGAAUUUUUUUAUGAUGACAAUAUCACAGCAAUAGAAGACCAAACAAAUCAUAUAUUUUUGCAUAAAAACUCUCUAAAACUAUUUAUGACGCAAAUCACGCAAAAAGUGAAAGUCACCUGAAAUCAGCUGGUUUUGGGGGAGAAAAGAACUGUGGAUGCACCCAUACUCUAAGAAAAUCUCUCCAGAAGAACACUUUGUCCACCGAAGGAUUGAAACUGGUUCCAUACCUGAUCGGAGCCAACACAUGCUCUUCAGCGCACUUCAACUUAACCUCCUCCGUCUGAUUAAAAAAAUCUUGACACACCGCAAGCAUUCUUUCCAUCAAACUCUCUGGGACUCCAUGGUUGAUCAACUGGGCGCAUGCACCCAAGCCAUACAACACAAGUUAAAAGAUCAUCAGAUCGAGAUUGUAAACAUAUAUGGACUUUUAAUUUUGGUACAUGUCAGUCAGAAUAUGUUUACCAUGAAGAAUCCCCAGUCUUGGCAUGCUUUGCCAAGAUCUUGGAUAACUUUGGCACGUUGAUCUGGAAUACCAGAAUUUAGGAGUGAGAAAUCAAUUAUAGGAAUUUGUUCAUCUGCUAUCACCUCAUCAAUACCAUCUUCUUGAUUUUGAGUAUUGAAGUAGUUAUACUUGGAGGGUAUGGAAGUUGAUUCUGCUAAGUCUUUAACACAUCCCAUCUUAUUUCUUGAGCUUGUAAAAGGUUUUUCAACUUGAGCUUGAACUAUUGCAGCCAUAUAAUUUCAAUACAGAUGAGAUUCUUUUUUUAAAAAAAAAUCAAAUAAAACUACUAACAAGCUUAAAAAGACAGACAAACCAUCUACAUGUCUACAUGUCCUUUUUAUGAAUGUAACAAGGGACCUUAUCACAUAAAGCAAGGUCAGCUUGGAGACAACAUGUCACGCGCAUUAUCAGUCCAUAUUUUGUUGUAUUUUCCUCAGAAUCGGAGAAACAACUAAGGUUGUAAUUCAUUUCUAGCCUUAAUCAGAAAUCCAGAUCUAGUGGAGUUCAGUAAUCCCAAUCCAAAUGUUCUUUAUUAUAUCGAAAUUGUACUAUAUGAAAAAUUAAGGACAUUAAUAAUAUAUAUACAGACUAUUUUAAAUUCGAACUCGAUCCAAAGUUGAUUUCCCACUUAAUUGAUUGUUCUGCUGAAGUUCCAAGUAUUCCUUGUACUUGAUCCCAUGGUAUAAUGGUGGAUUAUUUUUGUUGUCAACCAACUCUGUUGCAGGGGUGACUACUUUCUCCAAAUUAGGCCCAUGGGCAAUCCCGACCGAUAUUCGUGUAGCUUUGUUGUUCACUACUGCUCGAUGUACCACGCUCUUGUACUUUCCAUUGCUCAGAAUCUACAAAUUAAGCACAAAGUUCAUAUCAAAGUAUAAGAUUAAAAUCGGAAAAACAGUAGAGCACAUUGUGUGGUACUAAUUUUCAUGAAAAUUUUGUUUACAGUGUCGCGACCAAUCAACUUUGAUAUUGUAGUCCUAGACUCCUAGUACAUACCUCUAGAUGAUCAGCAAUAUUAACAAUAAUAGUGUUUGGUGAAGCAUGAACAUUGACCCAUUUCCCAUUGUGAUUCAGUUGAAGUCCACCAUUUUGGCUCUGUAUAAGGAGGGUCAAUAAGCCAUAAUCUGAAUGUGGUGGCAGGCCCAUCGCUAAUUCUGGCUGCGGACAGGGUGGGUAGAGAUUGGCUACGAGGAUCUGAAAACAAGACUCCAAGUCCAUUGCCUUGUCUAUGUAGUGUUCUUCCAACCCCAGACUUUCCGAUAUUCCCUUAAUUAAUUCCCUGGCAACUUGUCUAGUUCUUUUGCAAUAUUCCAACGAAAUCUCACUGUAAAAAAUUUACGACAGUUUUAUUUACUUAUGUAAUUCAGAGGAGUUUAAUUGUUCUCUAUAUUCGGAGAAAUGAUCAAAAGAUAUGCUGUGAAAGAUAUGCCACGAAGUGCAGUCACCUGAAACCGGCUGGUGUAGGCGGAGAAUGAAAUUGUGGAUGCACCCAAACUUUAAGAAAAUCUCUCCAGAAGAACACCUUGUCCACUGAAGCGUUGAAGCUUGUCCCAGACCUGAUGGGAGCCAACACAUGCUCUCCAGAACACUUCAACUUCUCCUCUUCCGUCUGAUCAAAAAAAUCCUUACACAUGUCAAGCAUUCUUUCCAUCAAACUCUCCGGGAUCCCAUGGUUGAUCACCUACAUGUCACACAUACACACAAUUAUGAGUUAUGUUAAACAUUAAAACUGUAUACGUACAUGGACUUAGAAUUUUGUACAAUUCAGAAUUUUACCAGGAAAAAUCCCCACUCUUUGCAUGCUUCGCGAAGCUCUUGAAUAACUUUGGCACGUUGAUCUGGAAAAGUGGAAUUCAGGAGAGAAAAAUCAAUUGUUGGAAUUUGUCUUUCUACUAUGACCUCAAUAUCAUUGUCGUAAUAGGCGUAUUUGGAGGGUAUGGAAGUGAGAUCACUUGACUCGGCUAAGUCCUUAACACACCCUAGCUUUGGUCUAAAAGCUGUUUCUGCAUGAGCUUGAGAUGUUGCAGCCAUGGAGUGAAUAUAAGAUGAAGAUAAUGAAGAAGAAAGAUAUGGAGUAAUAUUUUGGGUUAGUUCACAGUGUUCAUUUGAGUUGAGAUUUGAUUUGAAGAGGCCUAGCUACUUGUUUUUCAAGUGUGGAUAUCAAGUGAUAGAUCCACUCAUCCACCUCUCUUGCAUAUCAAGUUCCAAAGGUUUAAUGCUUGACUACGAGUGUACAGCUAAUGUUGUACUAUUAGCCAAACACCAUUGCUCUUCCUAGUUAUUUUGUUCCAGAAUUUGACCAUAUUCAUCAAAAGUUUCACUCUCAAACACCUUUCAGGGAGACAAAAGGACGGGUUGAGAAUUGACAAAACUCUUACCAAAGGGCCAAUAAAAUUAACUAUACUAUGGUUCCAACAUCGCGAAGCUCUAGGAGAACCAAGAACACCAAUAUCUACAAUGGCUAUUAAUUGUUUAACAUUGCUGAACAAUCAGCAAUUAGCUAACAACUAGGUCUGUUAGCCAAAAUUCUUAAGGUUGGGUUAGGGCCGGCAGCAGAGAACUGCCUUAGUUAGCACAUUAUUACAUUAUUGUAAAGUCUAGCCUCUGAAUUGUGGAGUACCACUACCUUUGUUGGAUGGCAAACUCCGAACACUAUUUGAUACGCCAUGCCCACGCAUGUUUUCUUUUUUACAAACUGCCUUAGUUAGCAUAUUGUUGAGAGAAGGUUUUAAUUGUAAUCCUUUAUUGUAUAAGGGACAGUCCAUGAUGUAAUCAGUUGGAGCUGUAUUUUUUCUGAAAUAAUGAAAAAAGUGUUUAUAUCGACCAAAAAAGUGUUUUAGUAAUCCCAGCCCAUUGUUCUUUUAUCAUAUCCAAAUCCUACUACUAUAUAUAUGAAAAAUUAAGCACACUAAUAAUAUACAGACUAUUUUAAAUUCGAACGUGAUUUAAAAUCGAUUUCCCACUUAAUUGGUUGCUCUGCUGAAGUUCCAAGUAUUCCUUGUAUUUGAUCCCAUGGUAUAAUGGUGGAUUAUUUUCAUUGUCAACCAACUCUGUUACUGGAGUGACUGCUUUCUCCAAAUUAGGUCCAUGAGCCAUUGCCAAGGAUAUCCUUGUAGCUUUAUUGUUAACUACUGCUCGAUGUACAACGCUCUUGUACUUUCCAUUGCUCAGAAUCUACAAAGCACAAUCCAAAUAUAAUAUGAUCAUAAUGGAAAAACAUGCAGUGGACACAUAUUUGUGUGGUACUAUAAUUUUAAUGAAAAUUUGAUUUACGGUGGCGUGCAUAUAACUUUGAUAUUGUGGUAGAUACCUCUAGAUGAUCCCCAGUGUUGACAAGAAAAGUGUUUGGCAAGGCAUGAACAUUAACCCACUUCCCGUUGUGAUUCAGUUGAAGUCCAUCAGUUUCGUUCUGUGUAAGGAGGGUCAAUAAGCCAUGAUCAGAAUGUGGUGGCAUCCCCAUUGCUAAUUCUGGCUGCGGACAGGGUGGGUAAAGAUUGGCGAUGAGGAUCUGAAAACAAGACUCCAAGUCCAUCGCCUUGUCUAUGUAGCAUUCUUCCAACCCCAGGCUUUCCGAUAUUCCUUUGAUUAAUUCCCUGGCAACUUGUCUAGUUCUUUUGCAAUAUUCCAACGAAAUCUCACUGUAAAUUUUUUUUUGACAAUUUUGUUUAAUUUUUCUUUAUAGUACAUUCUUUCGGGGUUUACAUAAAAUUAAAACAAUGAAUUUUAUGAAAAAAAAAUGAACAAAAUAUAUGCCGCAAAUUAAGUGCAGGCACCUGAAACCGGCUGGUGUAGGUGGAGAAUGAAAUUGUGGAUGCACCCAAACUUUAAGAAAAUCUCUCCAGAAGAACACCUUUUCCACUGAAGCAUUGAAGCUUGUCCCAGACCUGAUGGGAGCCAACACAUGCUCUCCACCACACUUCAACUUCUCCUCCUCCGUCUGAUCAAAAUAGUCCUUACACAUGUCAAGCAUUUUUUCCAUCAAACUCUCUGGGAUCCCAUGGUUGAUCACCUACAUGCAUGUCAUACACACAGUUAUGUUAAUGCGUAUACAUGGACUAAAAAAUUUGUAUGUCGUUUCUCGGAAUUUUACCAGAAAGAAUCCCCAUUCUUGGCAUGCUUCGCGAAGGUCUUGAAUAACUUUGGCACGUUGAUCUGGAAAAGUGGAAUUCAAGAGAGAAAAAUCAAUUGUUGGAAUUUGUCCUUCUACUAUGACAUCAAUAUCAUCUUUAUUAAGAGUAGUAUUAUCAAAAUAGGCGUAUUUGGAAGGUAUGGAAGUGAGAUCAAUUGACUCGGCUAAGUCCUUAACACAUCCUAGCUUUGGUCUAAAAGGUGUUUCUGCAUGAUCUUGAGAUGUUGCAGCCAUGGAAUGAAUAUAAGAUGAAGAUAAUGAAGACAUAGAUUGAAGAAGAAAAUUAUAAUGUGUUCAAGUCUCAGAGUUAACUUGAGAUUGAUAUAUGAUUGAUUGAUUGUUAACAAACAAAAUAUGACUAACCAGCCAUUUUGAAGUUGCCUACUUGCUUUUGAAGUGUGGAUGUGAUAGAUCCACCUCUGCUAAGUACUAUUAGCCAAACAGUCAAACACUACUUUUCUUCAUAGUUUUAUCUACUUAUCUUCUUCCAGAUUUCGAUCAUAUUCGUCCAAAGUUUCACACUCUCAAGUAGGGGUGGGCAAAAAAACCGAAAAACCGAAAACCGAACCGAAAAAACCGAGUCAAAACCGAGUUGACUAAAAACCGGUCAAGACCGGACCGAAACCGAACCGAACUAUAUAGCUAUUGGUCCGGUCUCGGUUCUUGUUUUUAUAGAACCGAGAGAACCGAACCGAACCGAAAUAAAUAAAAAACAUUUUUUUUAUUAUGAAAUUACUAAACUAGACAUAGGAAAGUAGAGAAACCUAACUUCAUUCCUUUUUUUCCAUCUCAAUCCGUCUCCUUCAGUCCUCUUCUCCAUCUCAAUUUCCACCACCACCACCGCCACUCUCUCCUUCAGUACUUGAACGCACUUCCUCAGUUCCUCGUUCUUCUUUUAGUAGCUUCUCAACUAAGGGUCUGUUUGCAAUUGAUUUCGAAUUGGGUUGUAUUCAAUUGAUUUCGAAUUGGGUUGUAUUCUUGUUUCCAGAUCAUUAUCUCAAGGUAUGUUUUGUUUUAAUUUUUUUACUGUUGAGUUUAUCGAUUUAAAAUUAUCCUUUAAAGUUUAAACUUCUUCUUUUUCCGGUCUAUAAAUAUACACGAAUUUCUCGUAUCAAAAAAUAAAUCUCAUUUCUAUUCUAUCUCCUUCUUCUUAUAACUCCUACCUUUUCCAUUUCCAUUUCCAUCUUAAUAAGAUUCUUUUUCUUUAUCAAAGCUCUCUGUUUCUAUAGAAAAAAGGUGAGAAAUCUUUCAAUCUAAUUCCAUUUUUGCAUCUUUCUCUUCUCUCUGUACGAUCUGAUUCAUCUUUUUAAAUUUAGCUAUAUAUUGAUUUUAGAAUAUCUGAAAUCCUUUUUGAAGAAGAAACUAGCUAUGAUCUUAUGAAUUCAUAAAAUCUUGAUUUGAUAAGAGUAGUUUUUCUUCUAUUAUGAUUGCUUCUUUUUGUCGUUUGUUUUUCCACAGUUUGUUUGAUCAAUUUGAUAAAUAAAUAUAUAUAAUUGAUACUUCUCUGUAAUUGUUUAAUUCCUUCUCUGUCUUAUACUUAUUUGUUUAUUAAUUAAAAUAAAAGAGUUUUUAUUUUUCAAGAAAGAUAAAUGAUUCUUGGUAUUUGUCUUCAUCUCUAAAACUUUCUCUGACAGAUUUGUGUAUUCUUCCAUUUUCAGGAACAAGAAUAGAAUAAGCCCAGUUGUUUCUUGUCUUUGUUUCUAGGCCCAAUAAAAAAGCCCAGGACCGAGUUUCGGACCGAAACCGGACCGAUUGUAUUUGGUCCGGUUCGGUCCGGUUUCAUUCAAAAAAAUUCGGUCCAUGGAACCGAAACCGAACCGAUACUUUCAAGUCGGUUUGGUCCCGGUCCUAUUACAUUUUAGGACCGGACCGGACCGUGCCCACCCCUACUCUCAAGUAGGCCUGUCAACUAUCCAAACCGAUCCAUGAUCCGAACCGAUCCAAAACCAAUCCAAACCAUUAUUUUUCUGUUUUGGAUAUCCAUUUGGAUUAUUGGAUUAUUCCAAAUGGUUUUUGGAUAUCCAUUGUGUUUUUGGAUCGGUUUGGAUAAUUACAAAGAAAAGACCGAUCCGAUAUUAGAAAAAAAAAUAAAAAAGUUUAUCGAUCUGUCCAAAACCCCCAAUUCUACUCUUUUCGUCUUCUCGAAAAUUUCAAUCGAUCUUUCUUCCCAAGCUUUACCUUCUCAACUUGCAAGAAUUUUGAUCACAUCAAAAUAUCAAAUAACCCUGAUUCGUUAUAUUUCAAUCAAAAGAACAAAUUAUUCUAAGGAUGAAGAUCAGACGUGUUAAUUGGUUUCGGUUUCAAUUUCAAACACUGCUACUACUUCUUGACAGAAGAACAGAGAAGAAGAAGAUAGAGAAAAAGUUUGUUUUUAUUAAAGUGUGUGUUGGUUGCGCUAUCACAGAAAACAAAACUCUCUCUCUCUAUAUAUAUAUAUAAACAGAACUAUCCAUGGAUGAUUUCCAUGGUUUACUAGCAAUAUACGAAUUCAAAACUCCUUCAUUCAAUUUUGGCUUAAU
rnacentral:lncRNA from 1 species